UACGUAGGUGGCAAGCGUUGUCCGGAUUUAUUGGGUUUAAAGGGUGCGUAGGCGGCUUUGUAAGUCAGUGGUGAAAUAUGGCAGCUCAACUGUCAAGGUGCCAUUGAUACUGCGGAGCUUGAGUACAGAUGAGGUAGGCGGAAUUGACGGUGUAGCGGUGAAAUGCUUAGAUAUCGGGAGGAACACCUGUGGCGAAGGCGGCCCCCUGGUUGGAUACUGACGCUGAUACGCGAAAGCGUGGGGAGCAAACAGG
rnacentral:rRNA from 1 species